AGAAGGAAAUAGCUGCCUGUUCCCUGGCAGCUCUUGCUCUAGCCUGCUCUUGCUUGGCUAAAAGUAAUUUUCAGUUAAAAGGGUGGCCGUGACUUGUUAUUAGUGAACACAGAAUCUUGGGAAGGAUUCAUUAUGUGAAAUGUGAAAUAAAAACUUUCAGGCAAAGGGAAAACUAAGUAUAUCCAAGUUUGAUGGAGAGACUCAAAUUAACAAAGAACUGUGGAAUAUUUCUAGCCAAAAGCCACUGGGGAACUGAUUCCUGCCAACAACCACUGAACUUCGAAGUAGAUCCAUCAGCAACUGGACCCUCAGAUGCGACCCAUGUAUGACACCUUGAUUGGGAUCCUGUGAGAGACCCUCAGGCAGAGCACCUAGUUAAGUCAAACUCAGAUCGCUGACUCCCAGAAACUGUAAGCACUCUCCUGCAUACCUGUCACCAAACCUCCAGGUCAAUCUCACAUUUACUCUUGAAGAAAUGGAGUCGAAGAUGAAAUAGAAAAUAAUUAGAUAAUGAAAUGCUAAUAUAGGAAUUGAAUGUCAGCUGCAGUGCUCAGAAGCAUAAGAGUUUUGGAGAAGGUCUCCCUUGAUCUAUUUCCAGCAAUGAAGGCAUCUACAUUAGUAGCUGUUGAGGAACACCCACAUUUUUAGGAUCAUCAAAAGCCAUGCAUCAGUGUGGUGAAUGCAUCCCCUACUGAAAACAGCCAGUGAGGCAGAAAGGGAGAGUUGUACAGAGAGCACCUGAUUGUAGCGGAUCAGAAGGACUGUGUUUGACCCUACUUGAAAAGAAUAGAAAAAAAAUAAAGACAAAAGUUGAAUAAAUAAAAAUAUGAUUACCAAACUGCAAACUGUUAUCGAUCAAUGAAUGCAUUCAGCGAGUAUUUAUUUCUGUAUGUGUGUGAUGUUUGACGUAUCCUGAAAGGAACAGGAACUAUCCAAAGUUUACCUUUAAGCUAUAUUCUUUGGUGACUGCCACAAAGUUUCACUUGUGUCACUAAAUUACUGAAAGUGUUGAAGGAAAGAAAACUGGGGAUAGCCACAAAUGCUUGCAGUUUUCAAUUUGCUGACUUGAAUGUUUGCAACCGGUUAUUUAACACAUAUAUGAUUUUGGUCGAUUAUUUUUAUAUAUACUUUCAAUCAGUAUUUCCCAUAAUUAAAAAUACAUUUGCAUUUUUUCUAUUAUCUGUUUUGGGUUAGGUCAAGUACUUAUACCCUAUAUUUGUAUUGCUGAUCUUUAUAUUAAAAAUAUUUUCUCCU
ensembl:lncRNA novel transcript